GUCUGCGGCCAUACCACCCUGAACUUGCCCAAUUUCCUCUGAUCUCAGAAGCUAACCAGGGUCGGGCCUGGUAGUACUGGGAUAGAAAACAUUGGUAUUUUGGUCU
rnacentral:rRNA from 1 species